ACAAAUCCCCUUUAUGUGUGGUGUGUAUGUCUUAUGAUGUGCACCCACAUAUAUUAGCUCCAUGCUGGAAACGGCAUGUGAACACAUUUCAACGAUUGACAGAAAAUGCAACAAAACAACAAC
rnacentral:misc_RNA from 1 species